GAUAAACGCCGGCGGUGUACAUAAGACAUGCAAGUCGAACGGGAGAAGACUGGAAGAUUUAUUUACUGGUUGGACACCGUGGCGGACGGGUGAGUAACACGUAAGCAACCUGCCUAUAAGAGGGGAAUAACAGUGAGAAAUUACUGAUAAUACCGCAUAAGCUGGAGGUAUCGCAUGAUACAUUCAGAAAAGAUUUAUCGCUUAUAGAUGGGCUUGCGUCUGAUUAGCUAGUUGGUGAGAUAACAGCUCACCAAGGCGACGAUCAGUAGCCGGAUUGAGAGGUUGAACGGCCACAUUGGGACUGAGACACGGCCCAGACUCCUACGGGAGGCAGCAGUCGGGAAUAUUGCACAAUGGAGGAAACUCUGAUGCAGUGACACCGCGUAUAGGAAGAAGGUCUUAGGAUUGUAAAGCUAUUGUCGUGUGAGAAGAAAAUGACC
rnacentral:rRNA from 1 species